rnacentral:rRNA from 1 species
GACGAACGCUGGCGGCGUGCUUAACACAUGCAAGUCGAACGGAAAGGCCCUGCUUUUGUGGGGUGCUCGAGUGGCGAACGGGUGAGUAACACGUGAGUAACCUGCCCUUGACUUUGGGAUAACUUCAGGAAACUGGGGCUAAUACCGGAUAGGAGCUCCUGCUGCAUGGUGGGGUUGGAAAGUUUUGGCGGUUGGGGAUGGACCCGCGGCUUAUCAGCUUGUUGGUGGGGUAGUGGCUUACCAAGGCUUUGACGGGUAGCCGGCCUGAGAGGGUGACCGGCCACAUUGGGACUGAGAUACGGCCCAGACUCCUACGGGAGGCAGCAGUGGGGAAUAUUGCACAAUGGGCGGAAGCCUGAUGCAGCAACGCCGCGUGCGGGAUGACGGCCUUCGGGUUGUAAACCGCUUUCGCCUGUGACGAAGCGUGAGUGACGGUAAUGGGUAAAGAAGCACCGGCUAACUACGUG